rnacentral:rRNA from 1 species
AGUGAACGCUGGCGGUAGGCCUAACACAUGCAAGUCGAACGGCAGCACAGUAAGAGCUUGCUCUUACGGGUGGCGAGUGGCGGACGGGUGAGGAAUACAUCGGAAUCUACUUUUUCGUGGGGGAUAACGUAGGGAAACUUACGCUAAUACCGCAUACGACCUACGGGUGAAAGCAGGGGAUCUUCGGACCUUGCGCGAUUGAAUGGGCCGAUGUCGGAUUAGCUAGUUGGCGGGGUAAAGGCCCACCAAGGCGACGAUCCGUAGCUGGUCUGAGAGGAUGGUCAGCCACACUGGAACUGAGACACGGUCCAGACUCCUACGGGAGGCAGCAGUGGGGAAUAUUGGACAAAGGGCGCAAGCCUGAUCCAGCCAUACCGCGUGGGUGAAGAAGGCCUUCGGGUUGUAAAGCCCUUUUGUUGGGAAAGAAAAGCAGCAGGUUAAUACCCCGCUGUUCUGACGGUACCCAAAGAAUAAGCACCGGCUAACUUCGUG